UCCGAGUUGACCCCGGCAGUCUCCUGCGAGUCCCCGCCAUUACGCGCUGGCAACACAGGACAAGGGUUGCGCUCGUUGCGGGACUUAACCCAACAUCUCACGACACGAGCUGACGACAGCCAUGCAGCACCUGUGUCACGGUUCCCGAAGGCACCCCCCAAUCUCUCGGGGGUUCCGUGCAUGUCAAGGCCAGGUAAGGUUCUUCGCGUUGCAUCGAAUUAAACCACAUACUCCACCGCUUGUGCGGGCCCCCGUCAAUUCCUUUGAGUUUCAGUCUUGCGACCGUACUCCCCAGGCGGCGAACUUAACGCGUUAGCUUCGACACUGAGCUCCAAGUUGAGCCCAACGUCCAGUUCGCAUCGUUUAGGGCGUGGACUAC
rnacentral:misc_RNA from 1 species